CCUCGGCUGAGUGGUCCACUAUUAGUCGGUACUGCUCUGGUCGAGGCUCACCUUCUGGAGAUCCGUCAUGUCCUUCAUUGGAUGUGGCGAGGAACCAGGACUUUUACUUUGAAAAAAUUAGAGUGUUUAAAGCAGGCAUUUGCUUGAAUAGAUUAGCAUGGAAUAAUGGAAUAGGACCUUGGUUCUAUUUUGUUGGUUUCUAGGACCUCGGUA
rnacentral:rRNA from 1 species